rnacentral:tRNA from 1 species
UUCCCUGGCAGUCCAGUGGUUAGGACACCAUGCUUUCACUGCCACGGGCCCAGGUUCAAUCCCUGGCAGGGAAA